UACAUGUGGGGCAAGCGUUGCUCGGAAUCACUGGGCGUAAAGGGUGCGUAGGCGGGUCUUUAAGUCAGGGGUGAAAUCCUGGAGCUCAACUCCAGAACUGCCUUUGAUACUGAAGAUCUUGAGUCCGGGAGAGGUGAGUGGAACUGCGAGUGUAGAGGUGAAAUUCGUAGAUAUUCGCAAGAACACCAGUGGCGAAGGCGGCUCACUGGCCCGGUACUGACGCUGAGGCACGAAAGCGUGGGGAGCAAACAGG
rnacentral:rRNA from 1 species